rnacentral:rRNA from 1 species
UAACUAUAACGGUCCUAAGGUAGCGAAAUUCCUUGUCGGGUAAGUUCCGACCUGCACGAAUGGCGUAAUGAUGGCCAGGCUGUCUCCACCCGAGACUCAGUGAAAUUGAACUCGCUGUGAAGAUGCAGUGUACCCGCGGCAAGACGGAAAGACCCCGUGAACCUUUACUAUAGCUUGACACUGAACAUUGAGCCUUGAUGUGUAGGAUAGGUGGGAGGCUUUGAAGUGUGGACGCCAGUCUGCAUGGAGCCGACCUUGAAAUACCACCCUUUAAUGUUUGAUGUUCUAACGUUGGCCCCUGAUCGGGGUUGCGGACAGUGUCUGGUGGGUAGUUUGACUGGGGCGGUCUCCUCCUAAAGAGUAACGGAGGAGCACGAAGGUUGGCUAAUCCUGGUCGGACAUCAGGAGGUUAGUGCAAUGGCAUAAGCCAGCUUGACUGCGAGCGUGACGGCGCGAGCAGGUGCGAAAGCAGGUCAUAGUGAUCCGGUGGUUCUGAAUGGAAGGGCCAUCGCUCAACGGAUAAAAGGUACUCCGGGGAUAACAGGCUGAUACCGCCCAAGAGUUCAUAUCGACGGCGGUGUUUGGCACCUCGAUGUCGGCUCAUCACAUCCUGGGGCUGAAGUAGGUCCCAAGGGUAUGGCUGUUCGCCAUUUAAAGUGGUACGCGAGCUGGGUUUAGAACGUCGUGAGACAGUUCGGUCCCUAUCUGCCGUGGGCGCUGGAGAACUGAGGGGGGCUGCUCCUAGUACGAGAGGACCGGAGUGGACGCAUCACUGGUGUUCGGGUUGUCAUGCCAAUGGCACUGCCCGGUAGCUAAAUGCGGAAGAGAUAAGUGCUGAAAGCAUCUAAGCACGAAACUUGCCCCGAGAUGAGUUCUCCCUGACUCCCUGAGAGUCCUGAAGGAACGUUGAAGACGACGACGUUGAUAGGCCGGGUGUGUAAGCGCAGCGAUGCGUUGAGCUAACCGGUACUAAUGAACCGUGAGGCUUAACCUU